UGCCGUAGUGAGGGGAUUUUUUAGGUGUGACUAUAGUCGCCUAUUUAUCGUUGCGAUUGCGUAGCCAAUGCGUAAAUAACGCAACAAUACAAC
rfam:Staphylococcus aureus subsp. aureus str. CF-Marseille, contig CF-Marseille00339, whole genome shotgun sequence